rnacentral:rRNA from 1 species
GAUGAACGCUGGCGGCGUGCCUAAUACAUGCAAGUCGAGCGGAAAGGCCCUUCGGGGUACUCGAGCGGCGGACGGCUGAGUAACGCGUAGGAACGUACCCCAAAGUGAGGGAUAACUGCUCGAAAGAGUAGCUAAUACCGCAUGUGCUCUUCGGAGUAAAGCUUCGGCGCUUUGGGAACGGCCUGCGUCCUAUUAGCUAGUUGGUGAGGUAAUUGCUCACCAAGGCGACGAUAGGUAGCUGGUCUGAGAGGAUGAUCAGCCAGACUGGGACUGAGACACGGCCCAGACUCCUACGGGAGGCAGCAGUAGGGAAUUUUCGACAAUGGGCGAAAGCCUGAUGGAGCAACGCCGCGUGCAGGAUGAAUGCCUUCGGGUUGUAAACUGCUUUUAUAGGUGAAGAAUAUGACGGUAACCUAUGAAUAAGGAUCGGCUAACUCCGUGCCAGCAGCCGCAGUAA